rnacentral:rRNA from 1 species
UGGCGGAUGCCUAACCAUGCAAGUCGUACCGAGAGUGGGGCAACUCACUCUCAGUGGCAAACGGGUGAUUAACGCGUGAAUAACCUGCCUUUGAGAAGGGGAUAACUGUCCGAAAGGAUAGCUAAUACCCUAUAUUGCCUUUUGUCACUAAGGCAAAAGGUGAAAGCGAGGCUGUCAAAGGCUUCGGCUCAAAGAGGGGUUCGCGUCCUAUCAGGUAGUUGGUGGGGUAAUGGCCUACCAAGCCAAUGACGGGUAGCUGGUCUUAGAGGAUGAUCACCCACAGUGGGACUGAGACACGGCCCGCACCCCUACGGGGGGCAGCAGUGGGGAAUCGUGGGCAAUGGGCGCAAGCCUGACCCCGCAAUGUCGCGUGAGGGAAGAAGCCCUUCUGGGUGUAAACCUCUGUCAGAUGGGAAGAUGAGACUAGGGGCUAAUACCUCCUGGUCUUGACGGUACCAUCAAAUGGAAGGGACGGCUAACUACGUGCCAGCAGCCGCGGUAAU